rnacentral:rRNA from 1 species
UUAAUUAAUUAUUAUCAGCGCGGCCUAUCAGCUUGUUGGUGGGGUGAUGGCCUACCAAGGCGUCGACGGGUAGCUGGUCUGAGAGGAUGAUCAGCCACACUGGGACUGAGACACGGCCCAGACUCCUACGGGAGGCAGCAGUGGGGAAUCUUGCACAAUGGGCGCAAGCCUGAUGCAGCAACGCCGCGUGCGGGAUGACGGCCUUAGGGUUGUAAACCGCUUUCAGCAGGAACGAAACUGACGGUACCUGCAGAAGAAGGUGCGGCCAACUACGUGCCAGCAGCCGCGGUGACACGUAGGCACCAAGCGUUGUCCGGAUUUAUUGGGCGUAAAGAGCUCGUAGGCGGUUCGGUAAGUCGGGUGUGAAAACUCUGGGCUCAACCCAGAGAUGCCACCCGAUACUGCUGUGACUAGAGUGCGGUAGGGGAGCGGGGAAUUCCUGGUGUAGCGGUGAAAUGCGCAGAUAUCAGGAGGAACACCAGUGGCGAAGGCGCCGCUCUGGGCCGUAACUGACGCUGAGGAGCGAAAGCGUGGGGAGCAAACAGGAUUAGAUACCCUAGUAGUCCACGCCGUAAACGUUGGGCACUAGGUGUGGGUCUCAACCAACGAGAUCCGCGCCGUCGCUAACGCAUUAAGUGCCCCGCCUGGGGAGUACG